rnacentral:rRNA from 1 species
GUACGGGGAAACCUGAUGCAGCCAUGCCGCGUGUGUGAAGAAGGCCGUUCGGGUGUAAAGCACUUUCAGUAGGGAGGAAGGUAGUGUAGUUAACACCUGCAUUAUUUGACGUUACCUACAGAAGAAGCACCGGCUAACUCCGUGCCAGCAGCCGCGGUAAUACGGAGGGUGCGAGCGUUAAUCGGAAUUACUGGGCGUAAAGCGCAUGCAGGCGGCCUGUUAAGUCAGAUGUGAAAGCCCGGGGCUUAACCUCGGAAUUGCAUUUGAAACUGGCAGGCUAGAGUCUUGUAGAGGGGGGUAGGAAUUUCAGGUGUAGCGGUGAAAUGCGUAGAGAUCUGAAGGAAUACCAGUGGCGAAGGCGGCCCCCUGGACAAAGACUGACGCUCAGAUGCGAAAGCGUGGGGAGCAAACAGGAUUAGAUACCCUGGUAG